GAGAUCAACCACAUAAACAAAGAGCACAAACACAACCCUUCUCCCCCCUCACAAGAUUUGAAAGCAUCUUGUCUCUUUAUUGGUCCUCUGGGUCAGGUGCUAGCCAGGUUAGCUGAGCUUCUUAACCCUUUACAGGUAACAGGAUGUUGCCUCUGGCCAGGAGGGAUUUUAUAGCACUGUAUACAGAAAGGUGGUUAUCUUUCCCUUUAUAACAACUCUGAUCAAGCUAAAAAAGUAAGAGUAUAGUUGCAGUUCCAUGAGCAGCGAGAUGGGUUAGCAGUCAGAAUUUGUACCUAUGUGAGAUGCUGGGCACAUACUCAUGGUGGCUGGCCCCUUCCGCCGCUCAUGCUGUCAGAGCUACGCUUUAUUUUUAGUCAUGCCUCCUUGCCCUUGUUGGACCUGCUCCCAGUGGAAGGAGCAUUCAAAAGGGAGAAGCUCAGCUCAGCCUGGGCUGACUGUGGAGGAGAGUGGUUGUGUGCAAAAGCCUCCUUCCAGGAAGACGCUGGGACUCCAAGCUGUUGGGGCCUACCUGAGCCGCAGGAAGUCAGUUGAUUACAGGAACCAAAGGGGAUGACUUGCUGUUACCAGUGGAGGAGCUGCUGGAGACAGAGCAGAGGGAGCACACGAGGGUACCCGUGUGUAACUCUGGAGGGACUGGGAUGAGGGUAGGAAGCGACCCAGGGAACAUGCUUGGGGAUAUUUGGACCUGAACCUUGUGUCAGGAUAUCUGGUUUUAAAGGGCGCUGGGUCAGAACCUGGUGGUAUAGUGUGGGCCUGGGUUACCCUACCCACACCCCUCUUGCCACUGGGUGAUAUUGCCGUUAGGUGAAUCGGCUUCUCGGAGAUAUUGCCACUAGGCAAAGCAGCACCUGGAAUCCCCACUGCUGGGCAUUAUAUCCCAGAGCAUCAUUCCUGGACAGCACUGUUGUCUUGGUACACCUAAUCAGCACCCCCUCAACAGUAUCAGAUAGCAUAUUUAUAAACCUUUUGAAGAGUUUGUCUUCACUAGGAAAACAAUUGUAUUUUCAAAACAUGUUAAUUAACCUGUGUUAGUUAUCAUGUAUUAAAACCAUAGCAUAGACAAGGCAAUUUGCAUUUUAACUUGUGUCAAAAUACAGCUCUGGUUGGUUCUUACCAGUUAACUCAUGUUAAAAUGCAAAUUUCCUGCCUCUAUUAGGGUUUUAAUGUAAGUUAAUUAACAUGUUAGUUCACAUAUUUCAAAAACACUGUUUUCCCUAAUGUGGACACAGCCUUAGUCAUGGAAAACAUUUCUCGACCCCCCCCCCACCCCGCGUUUUGACUCUGAAGAUUCAGAACUGCAGAAUUUCUGGGGCAGAGAAAUGAUAAGGGUCACCAUAAGCUACAAAUAGCAGUAUCCAGCUGUUGUUCUUCCAUUUGCCUGAAUGGGCUUAAAAUUCAUCUAAUUUUCAAAACAAAGCAAGUUUGGAUCUAAUAAGUACUUGGAUGGGGACAGUCUGAGAAUGCUAUGCUUUCUAGGCUUGUUGCUUUUUUGUGACAACAUAUUGUAACCUCUUCAGAUCUCAUGAGCAAAGCAAGUUUGUGUAUGGCCUGUAUCUGGGUGAGAUGCUUCCAAAGGGAAAAUAAAAGUCAGUGGACUGCACACAUCUGCUAUGCACAAGAGUGCAGUUGCUAGUCCAUCUCUUACAACACUGCUUUUGGCAGUUAUGGUUUCACUUCUCUUCUCAUCGCUUUGUUUUUCAUAUUCACAUUCAAGUAAUUUCUCCUAACAAAACUCCAAUGCACGGUUGAAAAUAGCAACACAAAGUCAGAUAACAGUCAUUUAAAACUAUCUCCUUUCCAGGACAACUCUCUUUGUAUAAGCUUCGAUAAAUUCUCCUGCUAAUCUGGACUAUCCAAACCUUUUGAAAUUCCCAUUCUUUUUUUAGUUUACAAUAUUUGGUUUUGCCCAAAUACAGCACUUUAUCAUACCAGAAUGAAAGAUGGAGGGGACCCUUUAUAAUUAUACAGUAUAUAUAUAUGAUGGAAUGCAGUAAAUUUGGCAGACCCUGUUUCAUCUUUUCGUGUAAACAGGGCAAUUUCACUAGACAGUUACCAUUGCACUUUUGGGGAAAAAAUCCAGAGCAUGUAAAAUCAUAUAUUCUAAAUUAUACUUGUUGGAGAAUACAAGUGUACAAUUUAAAUUCUUACAGUAAAUCUGUUGUUAAUGUUAAUUUUAUUGUAAGGUCCAAAUAAUUAAUCUGUAGUAUGGGCAUGUGAUUAGUUGCUUGACUGUCACAUAGUACAGUAUGAGAUGAGGCUGUGCUGUUUAACUAUAUUUUAUUUACUAAUUUUUCUCUACAGUCUUGAACACUUCCCAUUGAAGAAGCUGACUGGUCAAAUUCAUGAAGACAUCUUUCAUUUUCCCUGACAGCAGAUGUUUUCAUACAUAAACACAAUAAUAGAGUAAUUACAUGUCACUCAGCCCAUAUGCAAGUGAAAUUCUCCUCUGGUGGGGAUAACAGUGAUGCUACUCAAUGAACUAUUGUAUAACAAGGGCUCUAAAUGCAUCUCCUGUAGCAUACCACAGUGAUUUACAAAAGUGGGAAUAAAUCAAAGCAGUGAAGAGAUGCCAUGUUGAGCCAGAAGCUAAAUGUUACAUCUUGUUGCAUGAGGUAAGGGAGAACAGAUCCUGUUUUUCUGGCAGCACAAUAUCGUUGUGCUUGAUACCUCAGAUGCAGCCCCAUUAAAACAAUCAUUCAGAAUCUACAGGAGAUUGUCACUUCUUUCUUUCAUGCAAUGGCAGCUGGUAUUGGUGCUUACACAUAUUCCUCAUUCCCUUCAAGAUUUUCAACACACAAAGAAGCUUAAUUUAUAUUUAAAAAAUAAGUGUCAUCUUACCCUGAGGCUCAUCACUGGCACCCGGGG